UGGGGAAUUUUGGACAAUGGGGGCAACCCUGAUCCAGCCAUUCCGCGUGAGUGAAGAAGGCCUUCGGGUUGUAAAGCUCUUUUGUCGGGGACGAAACGGUUUCGUUUAAUACGCGAGACUACUGACGGUACCCGAAGAAUAAGCACCGGCUAACUACGUGCCAGCAGCCGCGGUAAUACGUAGGGUGCGAGCGUUAAUCGGAAUUACUGGGCGUAAAGCGUGCGCAGGCGGUUUUAUAAGCCAGAUGUGAAAUCCCCGGGCUCAACCUGGGAAUGGCAUUUGGGACUGUAAGGCUGGAGUGUGGCAGAGGAGACUGGAAUUCCUGGUGUAGCAGUGAAAUGCGUAGAUAUCAGGAGGAAUACCGAUGGCGAAGGCAGGUCUCUGGGCUGACACUGACGCUCAUGCACGAAAGCGUGGGGAGCAAACAGGAUUAGAUACCCCCGUAGUCC
rnacentral:rRNA from 1 species